GAAAAUAGGUUAGUAUGCCCAAAAUUUACAAAAGAAGAAAUGGAGUGGAGAAGAAAAGGAAAGAGAUGGAAAAAAAAGGGGGAAAAAAAUGAGCAGUUUCAAUUUUAUAGGAUGGUACAGUCACUUUCCAUUUCUUACUUCUAUUCAUUCUUCACUAUACUAUUUGAUUGUAUUUAUUUGCUUGUUAUAUUUAUAGAUGGCCUGCAGUGGUACUUUCUGACCUUUAACCAUUCUGUGAUUUCAUAGGACACUUCAGGCUCUCAGGAACCUCAGAACAUGUCUAGUUUAGCCUCCUGUUCAAACCAAAGCCAGGUAAGCAAUCAAACUAGGUUGAUGGAGGCUUUAGGGCUCUUUUGUCCCUCUAAAGCAGUUUCUUGGUCAAUCAAGUGUAUUCCAUUAAUUGAAACUACUGUUAUAACUAUAUAAUUGAUGAUAUAACUAUCAGUGUAACCAGUCUAUCAUCUAGGCUAGUUGUAAACGUUCCUCAGAAUGGUACUCAUGCCUCUUCCUUUACAGACUCUGCAGAGAUUUAUCACAUUCUGGCCAGAAGUUUAUCUGGCUCAGUUUUGCCCCAGUCAUGUUGAAAAACAUACUCCAGUAUAAUCCACUGUCGUUGUCCUCUCACCAUGUCACUUCAUCUUCUAAACUGUACCUCAUAUCUCUUUUCUCAUCUGCAAUAAUACUGUAGGUAGAGGCACCAAGGCACCAUAAAAUCCAUUGUCCAUAAAGAAAUGAGUUGAAAGAAAGCAGCCACCUGUUCGUGUGCAAUUGUGUGCAGUAAAAAAACAACAGAAGCAAAUUCCCCUGAAAAUAAUGGUUAAUUAUAUGUAAGUCUACCCAUUGUUAAAUAUUACCUUCAGCAUUUUUCUCCACUUAGGAUAGUGCAUAAAACAGAUUCCAUUCCCAGCACCAGAUCUCAUCCCUGGAAAAUCAAUGGCAGUGGAGACAGAAUCCCUAAAAUGCAUUAUGGAAUUGCAAGCUAAAGCCAAGGCAUACCCAUUCAACAGUGACUCACUGUGCAGCCUGGGCUGUCUCAGUUCAGGAAGAGGUGAAUGGGGCAGUGAUAGUUCUCAGUCUCAUAAAACACUUCAAGAACUUCCUGUGAAAAGGAGUAGCCCUGUUACUACAAUCUCUUACCCGCCUGCUUUCUAG
rnacentral:lncRNA from 1 species